rnacentral:rRNA from 1 species
GACGGAGGGGGCAAGCGUUGUUCGGAAUUAUUGGGCGUAAAGGGCUCGUAGGCGGAUCCGCCAGUCUGACGUGAAAUCUCCACCGCUCACCGGGGAGGGGCCGUUGGAUACUACGGAUCUGGAGUUCGGCAGAGGACCAUGGAAUUUCGGGUGUAGCGGUGGAAUGCGUAGAGAUCCGGAAGAACACCGGUGGCGAAGGCGGCCUGCUGGGCAGUAGCUGACACUGAGGCGCGACAGCGUGGGGAGCAAACAGG